GCAGCCAUCUCCCUCCCUACAUGCAAACCCCAGUCUGGACUAGGGCCACAGCUCCAUACUUGUUUUGCCAGGCCCCUCAGGAGGACUGAACAAGCCAUCAUUAGGUUUCAGAGCAACCUGCUGAGACAAGAUCUCUUGACAUACGAUCUAAAAUGGAUGAACCAAGACAUAGGCAAAGUUGCAGCAAAUGAAACCCAGAACAAGCAUAGCCAUCUAAGGGAACCCCUCAAAAGUGCUUUCUCUCUCUUGAUCCGCUCCUUUUCUGUCCAGCCAAAGAAACGAGUUAAUGGACUAAUUUUUCCACUCAGUCCAUUGGCUGGGGAAUUACCAAGUAAUACAAGGCAGCUGUUCCUGCAUUUGAAAGCUCUUAUACUAAGUUAGAACUUACCCAGAGAAAGAAGCUUGCAUUAGGGUGGAGGAGUGUGACAAAAGCAGCAGGGGUCCUGGGCUGGCUGCUCAGAGGAAAGAUGAGGAUUUUAUGAAGCUGCAUCAGAGCACUAUAACCAUCCUCUUCACCACAGGAGGAAGACUCAGCACCCCAGAUCAUGGAGUGUUUCAGAAGGACAGAAGCAGGCUGAAGGACUGGGCCAACAGGAGCCUGGUGAAAUUCAGCAAGGACAAACACUAAGUUCUGCAAUUCGGAGAAACUAACCCCAUUGUACAGCACUGGAGAGCAGCCAUGCUGAAAAAUGUGGUGGGUCAUUGGAGGCAAUGGGCUGAACAUGAGCUAGCAGCGUGCCAUGGCAGCUAAGGUGGCCAAAGCAGGGGGCCUGUGUUAGAGCACAGUAGGUGAAGUGCUUAGACCCCUGUCCUUGGCACUUGUUAGACCACAUC